rnacentral:rRNA from 1 species
UACAGAGGGUGCAAGCGUUGUUCGGAAUUAUUGGGCGUAAAGCGCGUGUAGGCGGCCGAGUAUGUCGGGUGUGAAAGCCCUCAGCUUAACUGAGGAAGUGCGCCCGAAACUGCUUGGCUUGAGUGCCGGAGAGGAUAGCGGAAUUCCCGGUGUAGAGGUGAAAUUCGUAGAUAUCGGGAGGACACCAGUGGCGAAGGCGGCUAUCUGGACGGUCACUGACGCUGAGACGCGAAAGCGUGGGAGCAAACAGGG